UACGGGGGGGUGCGAGCGUUUGUCCGGGAAUCACUGGGCGUAAAGGGCGCGUAGGCGGCCUUCUAAGUCGAACGUGAAAUCCCCUGGGCUCAACCCAGGAACUGCGUCCGAUACUGGGAGGCUUGAAUCCGGGAGAGGGAUGCGGAAUUCCAGGUGUAGCGGUGAAAUGCGUAGAUAUCGAGAGGAACACCGGUGGCGAAGGCGACUUUCUGGUCUGUGAACUGACGCUGAGGCGCGAAAGCGUGGGGAGCAAACAGG
rnacentral:rRNA from 1 species